rnacentral:misc_RNA from 1 species
UCCUCUUGAUCUUCCUCUUCAUUCUGCUCAUCUCCAGAAUCCUGAUUUUGUGGAGGGGGUGGUGGAGGAGGCUGCUGAUUUUGCUGUUCUGGUGGACUCUCAUUUAUGAUUGAACGAGGAAGAAUAACCAGUUCCACAGCUUUUUUCAGGUCAUCCACAUUGACUUUUUCACGUCCUUCAAGAGCAGCCAAGCAUUUUGCCACGCGAGCAGCAUAUAGCUCAGCUCUGUGUCCCUGGCAGCCACCUCGAAGGGCUUCCAUAA